CACUCACACACCCAUCAUCCAGCACACACACCCAUCAUCCAGCACACACACCCAUCAUCCAGCACACACACACACACACACCUAUCAUCCAGUACUCACACACCCAUCAUCCAGUACUCACACACCCAUCAUCCAGCACUCACACACACACACCCAUCAUCCAGCACUCACACACACAUCAUUCAGCACUCACACACCCAUCAUCCAGCACUCACACACCCAUCAUCCAGCACACACACACAUCAUCCAGCACUCACACACCCAUCAUUCAUCACUCACUCAAACACACAUCAUCCAGCACUCACACACACAUCAUCCAGCACUCACUCACACACACAUCAUCCAGCACUCACACACACAUCAUCCAGCACUCACUCACACACACAUCAUCCAGCACUCACACACACACACAUCAUCCAGCACUCACACACACAUCAUCCAGCACUCACACACACAUCAUUCAGCACACACACACACACACACAUCAUUCAGCACACACACACACGUCAUCCAGCACUCACACACACGUCAUCCAGCGCGCACACACACGUCAUCCAGCGCGCACACACACAUCAUCCAGCACACGCUGCAUUCAUUAUACACACUCUUCACUCACUACAAACACACUACAUUCACUAUACACCCUCUGCAUUCACUAUACACACUCUGCAUUCAUUAUACACAUUCUGCACUCACUACACACUACAUUCACUAUACACACUCUGCAUUCACUACAAACACACUACACACACUGCAUUCAUUGUACACACUCUGCACUCACUACAAACACACUAAAUUCAUUAUACACAAUUUGCACUUACUACAAACACACUACAUUCAUUAUACACACUCUGCACUCACUACAAACACACUACAUUCACU